AGGGUGACAGCCCCGUACACAAAAGCGCAUGUGCUGUGAGCUCGAUGAGUAGGGCGGGACACGUGGUAUCCUGUCUGAAUAUGGGGGGACCAUCCUCCAAGGCUAAAUACUCCUGACUGACCGAUAGUGAACCAGUACCGUGAGGGAAAGGCGAAAAGAACCCCGGCGAGGGGAGUGAAAAAGAACCUGAAACCGUGUACGUACAAGCAGUGGGAGCACCCUUCGGGGUGUGACUGCGUACCUUUUGUAUAAUGGGUCAGCGACUUAUAUUCUGUAGCAAGGUUAACCGUAUAGGGGAGCCGCAGGGAAACCGAGUCUUAAUUGGGCGUUAAGUUGCAGGGUAUAGACCCGAAACCCGGUGAUCUAGCCAUGGGCAGGUUGAAGGUUGGGUAACACUAACUGGAGGACCGAACCGACUAAUGUUGAAAAAUUAGCGGAUGACCUGUGGCUGGGGGUGAAAGGCCAAUCAAACCGGGAGAUAGCUGGUUCUCCCCGAAAGCUAUUUAGGUAGCGCCUCGUGAAUUCAUCUCCGGGGGUAGAGCACUGUUUCGGCUAGGGGGCCAUCCCGGCUUACCAACCCGAUGCAAACUGCGAAUACCGGAGAAUGUUAUCACGGGAGACACACGGCGGGUGCUAACGUCCGUCGUGAAGAGGGAAACAACCCAGACCGCCAGCUAAGGUCCCAAAGUCAUGGUUAAGUGGGAAACGAUGUGGGAAGGCCCAGACAGCCAGGAUGUUGGCUUAGAAGCAGCCAUCAUUUAAAGAAAGCGUAAUAGCUCACUGGUCGAGUCGGCCUGCGCGGAAGAUGUAACGGGGCUAAACCAUGCACCGAAGCUGCGGCAGCGAACGUAUCACUUAAAGCGAUUCAGCGGGUUACGAUUGACGGAGCGAAGCGACGUCAAAGCGUAUACAAAGUCGAGUCGGUUUAAGGAUACGUUCGUUGGGUAGGGGAGCGUUCUGUAAGCCUGUGAAGGUGUGUCGUGAGGCAUGCUGGAGGUAUCAGAAGUGCGAAUGCUGACAUAAGUAACGAUAAAGCGGGUGAAAAGCCCGCUCGCCGGAAGACCAAGGGUUCCUGUCCAACGUUAAUCGGGGCAGGGUGAGUCGACCCCUAAGGCGAGGCCGAAAGGCGUAGUCGAUGGGAAACGGGUUAAUAUUCCCGUACUUGGUGUUACUGCGAAGGGGGGACGGAGAAGGCUAUGUUGGCCGGGCGACGGUUGUCCCGGUUUAAGCGUGUAGGUGUGUGUUCCAGGUAAAUCCGGUUCACUUUAACACUGAGGCGUGAUGACGAGGCACUACGGUGCUGAAGCAACAAAUGCCCUGCUUCCAGGAAAAGCCUCUAAGCAUCAGGUAACAUCAAAUCGUACCCCAAACCGACACAGGUGGUCAGGUAGAGAAUACCAAGGCGCUUGAGAGAACUCGGGUGAAGGAACUAGGCAAAAUGGUGCCGUAACUUCGGGAGAAGGCACGCUGACAUGUAGGUGAAGUGAUUUACUCAUGGAGCUGAAGUCAGUCGAAGAUACCAGCUGGCUGCAACUGUUUAUUAAAAACACAGCACUGUGCAAACACGAAAGUGGACGUAUACGGUGUGACGCCUGCCCGGUGCCGGAAGGUUAAUUGAUGGGGUCAGCGCAAGCGAAGCUCCUGAUCGAAGCCCCGGUAAACGGCGGCCGUAACUAUAACGGUCCUAAGGUAGCGAAAUUCCUUGUCGGGUAAGUUCCGACCUGCACGAAUGGCGUAAUGAUGGCCAGGCUGUCUCCACCCGAGACUCAGUGAAAUUGAACUCGCUGUGAAGAUGCAGUGUACCCGCGGCAAGACGGAAAGACCCCGUGAACCUUUACUAUAGCUUGACACUGAACAUUGAGCCUUGAUGUGUAG
rnacentral:rRNA from 1 species